rnacentral:rRNA from 1 species
AUUGAACGCUGGCGGCAGGCCUAACACAUGCAAGUCGAACGAGUGGCUUGCGUGUGAGUAAUGUCUGGGAAACUGCCUGAUGGAUGGGGACAACUACUGGAAACGGUAGCUACUACCGCAUACCAUCAGAUGUGCCCAGAUGGGUUUAGCUUUUUGGUGGGGUAACGGCUCACCAAGGAGACGAUCCCUAGCUGGUCUGAAAGGAUGACAAGACACACUGGAACGGAGACACGGUCCAGAGUCCGACGGGAGGCAGCAGUGGAGAAUAUUGCACAAUGGGCGCAAGCCUGAUGCAGCAAUGCCGCGUGUAUGAAGAAGGCCUUCGGGUUGUAAAGUACUUUCAGCGGGGAGGCGUUACCCGAAGAAGAAGCACCGGCUAACUCCGUGCCAGCAGCCGCGGUAAUUC